GUUGGAGGGUGCACGGUGGGCUUGGCGAAGGAAAUGCAGUUGAUCUUUCCAGGAAUUGCUUUUGCUUCUCGUCAGCAAAGCAAAGAACAGAAUCCACACACACUUCAAUCAAGACCAGAAGAUGAUGGCACAGGCUUGAAGUCCUGUAGCUUCGAGUACUCUGUUAUGAGGUGGAACAUGUAAUCAUACACUCGAUCCAUACUUAAGGUUUCCAUAAAAUCUUG
rnacentral:misc_RNA from 1 species